UGUGUGCGGUCUUUUCGGGGGGAGUUUAGUGGGUGGCAUCCUCAGCCUCAGACUCAAAUUAAAAUUCAGUUCUCAGCUUGCAGCCAUCGAGCUUUCCCCGCCGAGCUUUCGAGUGUGCGUCCUCCUUGCGAUUUCCACGUACUCGUAAUUAGAGCCUGCAAUUAGACGAAGGCAGUGCACUGGAUGGACCAUCCACAUACAACCCUGAGCGCCAUUUCAACUAGGCGUCCAGACACUUAAUCUAUAGUUAAGACCUCUGGAGAUCGAGACGCACACGUGAACAGCCGGAGAAGUCGCACAACCUAAGCAUAAAUCUGGCCGGUGCAUUAAUUAAGCUUAAACGCAGGCUUCCUCUUGGAGCUCAUCACAAAGUCGCACAAAUUGCUGCCCCAAGACGCUGGUCAAUUGAAUUAAAUCGUUUUGGCUUGCUUUUGUGCUCCAAUCAGUGCGCGAAAUUGAAGACAACCAUGGGGGAAGAUUGCCCUUUGGGGAGAUUGUUUUUACCCAGU